rnacentral:rRNA from 1 species
GGAAUCUUCCACAAUGGACGAAGGUCUGAUGGAGCAACGCCGCGUGAGUGAAGAAGGGUUUCGGCUCGUAAAACUCUGUUGUUAAAGAAGAACAUAUCUGAGAGUAACUGUUCAGGUAUUGACGGUAUUUAACCAGAAAGCCACGGCUAACUACGUGCCAG